UACGUAGGGUGCGAGCGUUAUUCGGAAUUACUGGGCGUAAAGCGUGCGCAGGCGGCUUUGCAAGACAGAUGUGAAAUCCCCGGGCUCAACCUGGGAACUGCAUUUGUGACUGCAAGGCUAGAGUACGGCAGAGGGGGAUGGAAUUCCGCGUGUAGCAGUGAAAUGCGUAGAUAUGCGGAGGAACACCGAUGGCGAAGGCAAUCCCCUGGGCCUGUACUGACGCUCAUGCACGAAAGCAUGGGGAGCAAACAGG
rnacentral:rRNA from 1 species